AUUCGACCAUCUUAAUCGGAAGUGAACUAUUCUUAGGCAUUUUUAGUGAAUCGUGAGAGUUUUGACUUUUCGAAAGAUCCAUUUUAAAAUCUACUUCAAUUUAUUUUGUGAAAGCAUGCCGAAGAUUUUUUUGCCUUUCUCCACGUGAUCGCUGCCGUGUCAUGAAGAUGCUUCUUUGAGAGUCUCUUAUUGCAAGACAAAAAUGUGAUGAGAACAGGUAAUCUGAGUUGUAUUAUGUACUUUAAGAUAAAUCAAGUAGAGUUCAACCUGCAGACGGACCUGCCAGUUUGCAUGUCCUUCACGCUUGAAGGUCGCGGGGAACAUUACGUAAAACGUAUCAUGUGUGUAAAACUGUCAAUGCGGUGGUGUAGAGGUUGGACCCAUCCCCCGCAACGUCUACCUGUAGAAGGAAAGGCCAGUUUGCAUUUCCUUCACGCUCGAAGGUCACGAAGAUCAUUAAGUAAACCGUAAAAUGCGACGGCCUAGAGGUUGGGUGAGGACGACACGUGUUGCAUCAUUAUCAAGCAGGUAAAAUAGCCGCAAGGCUUAAGAGGUGAUCAGUAUGAGAAAAAAAUAAAGAGAGAGAAGAGGCGACAGAAAUUAGUCGAGUGAGCACCUCUGACCCGGAAACAACCGUAGCGCACUGUCUGUCACCAAGUGACUUCUUCAUCUAAUCGUACAACCAAUUCGCAAUCAUGAGGUGCCCGCUCUUCUGGAAACCUAUUCACGUCGGAUAGGUUUGUACGUUUUUAUUUUAUUUUAUUUUUUUAUUUUUAUUAAUUAAAAUAGGUUCCCUCCGGGCCUCUGGGAGGAGAGCCAGAGCCCAGAGGAGGCUUUCAACGACUGCUAGAGUUAAUUGGCAACAUCACCAAGGUUUCACGUUUCAUUCUUAAAUAGUAGUUGCCUGAUUUGGUAGGUUAAAAUUAAAUUAAUUACACGGCAUGUCGAUACCUAAAAGAUCGCAAUCUGGGCACACGUUCCUUUAUCUGGUUACAUUUGGGAUUUUCACUAGCCCGCUCGAAAAUAGCUGCGUAACGAUCAAGAAAGUCUAAAACCUAAAUCCCAAACAACUUAUCUUUUAUCCUGUCUCUUGGUUUGUGAUUCUUUUUUCUGCAUAAAAAAUCAACUUAAAAAAACAGUCUACCGGAACCGGAGCCUUAAUAAAAGUGAAAAGAUGUGCUGAAGUGUUUUGUUAAUCAUGGAGAUUUUUAGAUUUGUCAGUCGAUCUCGGAUCUGGAAGCUGGAACGGGUUUUUCUUUAUUCAAGAUUCUAACACAAUUUUAUUUUAAAAAUUAGUCGUUAAGCCCAGCCGGUUAUAAUGCUGAACAGUGAACAUUUUAUAUUCACAGUUCACACUUCACAGUCGAAUUUGCCGCUUUGGCUCUUAGCAAUUGCAGGGAUGCCAGAUGCGGACUUUUAAAUUGCAAAACUGAAAAUGGCAAUGUUGCGCCUUGCCCGUUACUUUCAAGAUGGCUGUUACUGCUGUCAGAGUGUCAGUCUUACGUGGUUACGCCAAUCUCUUCGGAUCUAACAUAAUUCAACUCAACUUUCUCAACUUAUUUUCCCUGGCAUUAUUCGCCAUAAAAAUGAUAACAUAGCCUGCAAUUUAUACAUGGCAAUUUCAUCUUAUCAUGUGGCCUGAAACUGCUGUUUCCCAAAAUGUCGUCUCUAGCUGCACGUACCGGCUGUACGCUUCAGAACAGUAAAUGUGAUCAUUUUGAGCUUCUUCAUUGCAGUCCAGAUUUCUCAUUGAUUUGUUGAAGCCAGCUGGCGAAAGGUGUUGCUCUUACUGUCUUGCUACCUGUACCAGUUGUAGCUUUCGUCACACACUGAAACACUUCCGAACAAUUUAAAUAGGAUUAACAGCUACUUGAAGUCUGAGCCUCUUUGUUGCAGUCCAAUAUGUACAUGAAUGUUGUGAAGCCAGCUGGAGAAUGGUGUGGUGAGCUGUUGCAUGCCGACUGGGUUGCUGGUGUCGUUUGUUCAUUUAACUAUGGACCGUUCAGUCGUUCGUUUAUCGUUUCCAUGGUCAGUUUUAUGUUUGAGCUGUUUGUGGCGUUGCUGUUUGGGGUACAGUGGUUUUGCAGUCAUUUUCUAGUUGAGAGAUGCGCUGAAAUGGAGCUUGUGCGGACUUGCAGUUGAACAUAAUACUUUAAUGUGUUAUUUGCCUAUGUCGGUGUCCAUGCACUCUAUGCAGUGUUGAACUGCUGUGAAAAAUAAUCGAUAUUGCCUGAUGGCUGUCGGGCUUAUUUUAUCGGCAGCAUGUUGUCGAUAUGUCGUCUCUUGCUACCUGUACCGCCGUUGAGGUAAUGCUUGAUGUACAGUCUCAUUUAAUCAUUGACUUUAAGUUAAUAUCUCCGUUUUCAUU
rnacentral:lncRNA from 1 species